UCAGAUUGAACGCUAGCGGGAUGCCUUACACAUGCAAGUCGAACGGCAGCACGGACUUCGGUCUGGUGGCGAGUGGCGAACGGGUGAGUAAUGUAUCGGAACGUGCCUAGUAGCGGGGGAUAACUACGCGAAAGCGUAGCUAAUACCGCAUACGCCCUACGGGGGAAAGCAGGGGAUCGCAAGACCUUGCACUAUUAGAGCGGCCGAUAUCGGAUUAGCUAGUUGGUGGGGUAACGGCUCACCAAGGCGACGAUCCGUAGCUGGUUUGAGAGGACGACCAGCCACACUGGGACUGAGACACGGCCCAGACUCCUACGGGAGGCAGCAGUGGGGAAUUUUGGACAAUGGGGGAAACCCUGAUCCAGCCAUCCCGCGUGUGCGAUGAAGGCCUUCGGGUUGUAAAGCACUUUUGGCAGGAAAGAAACGUCAUGGGCUAAUACCCCGUGAAACUGACG
rnacentral:rRNA from 2 species